rfam:Loxodonta africana unplaced genomic scaffold scaffold_4, whole genome shotgun sequence.
CUGUCUCUUGCUUCAAUGGUGUUUGGAUGGAACAG